UACGACGGGGGCUAGCGUUGUUCGGAUUUACUGGGCGUAAAGCGCACGUAGGCGGAUUGUUAAGUCAGGGGUGAAAUCCUGGAGCUCAACUCCAGAACUGCCUUUGAUACUGGCAAUCUAGAGUCCGGAAGAGGUGAGUGGAACUCCUAGUGUAGAGGUGGAAUUCGUAGAUAUUAGGAAGAACACCAGUGGCGAAGGCGGCUCACUGGUCCGGUACUGACGCUGAGGUGCGAAAGCGUGGGGAGCGAUCCGG
rnacentral:rRNA from 1 species